UACAGAGGAUGCAAGCGUUAUCCGGAAUGAUUGGGCGUAAAGCGUCUGUAGGUGGCUUUUUAAGUCCGCCGUCAAAUCCCAGGGCUCAACUCUGGACAGGCGGUGGAAACUACCAAGCUGGAGUACGGUAGGGGCAGAGGGAAUUUCCGGUGGAGCGGUGAAAUGCGUAGAGAUCGGAAGGAACGCCCGUGGCGAAAGCGAGGUCCUGGGCCCUUACUGACGCUGAGACGCGAAAGCCAGGGGAGCGAACGGG
rnacentral:rRNA from 1 species